rnacentral:rRNA from 1 species
UACGUAGGGUGCAAGCGUUGUCCGGAAUUAUUGGGCGUAAAGAGCUCGUAGGCGGUCUGUCGCGUCGGAUGUGAAAACCCAGGGCUCAACCCUGGGCCUGCAUUCGAUACGGGCAGACUAGAGUUCGGUAGGGGAGAGUGGAAUUCCUGGUGUAGCGGUGAAAUGCGCAGAUAUCAGGAGGAACACCGGUGGCGAAGGCGGGUCUCUGGGCCGAUACUGACGCUGAGGAGCGAAAGCGUGGGGAGCGAACAGG